AGUGAACGCUGGCGGUAGGCCUAACACAUGCAAGUCGAACGGCAGCACAGUAAGAGCUUGCUCUUACGGGUGGCGAGUGGCGGACGGGUGAGGAAUACAUCGGAAUCUACUUUUUCGUGGGGGAUAACGUAGGGAAACUUACGCUAAUACCGCAUACGACCUACGGGUGAAAGCAGGGGAUCUUCGGACCUUGCGCGAUUGAAUGAGCCGAUGUCGGAUUAGCUAGUUGGCGGGGUAAAGGCCCACCAAGGCGACGAUCCGUAGCUGGUCUGAGAGGAUGAUCAGCCACACUGGAACUGAGACACGGUCCAGACUCCUACGGGAGGCAGCAGUGGGGAAUAUUGGACAAUGGGCGCAAGCCUGAUCCAGCCAUACCGCGUGGGUGAAGAAGGCCUUCGGGUUGUAAAGCCCUUAUGUUGGGAAAGAAAAGCAGCAGGUUAAUACCCCGCUGUUCUGACGGUACCCAAAGAAUAAGCACCGGCUAACUUCGU
rnacentral:rRNA from 1 species